GCAGUAGCCGCGGUAACACGAAGGGUGCAAGCGUUACUCGGAAUUACUGGGCGUAAAGCGUGCGUAGGUGGUGGUUUAAGUCCGUUGUGAAAGCCCUGGGCUCAACCUGGGAAUUGCAGUGGAUACUGGGUCACUAGAGUGUGGUAGAGGAUAGUGGAAUUUCCGGUGUAGCAGUGAAAUGCGUAGAGAUCGGAAGGAACAUCUGUGGCGAAGGCGACUAUCUGGGCCAACACUGACACUGAGGCACGAAAGCGUGGGGAGCAAACAGGAUUAGAUACCCCGGUAGUCCCUGUCUCUUAUAC
rnacentral:rRNA from 1 species